ACUGAGUUGCCCAAAUAUAAAUACCCCCAGGGAAUACCUUGAGUGUAAGAAUUAUGCUGUUUGUUGAUUAUUUCAGUAAGCAAGUAUUGAAUGCCUUACUGCAAGGCAGACAGGGGAUAGAGUGGACAGACAGACAAGGUCCCUACCCACAUGGAGCAUCCAUACGGCUCAAAGGCAACACAGCAUCAAGGCAAAGGAUGGUAAGAAGCACAUGCCUUAGCAGAGCACAGGCCACACCCCGUACAGGAGACUGGGUUAGACUGGAAUCUGGAGGUUGAGUGAGAGCUCCCUCAGUACAGUGAGCUCCUUGGUGGACAUGCGCAGAGGAUUUCAACCAGAGAGCCGGAAGUUCAAGGAACUGAAAGAAUCUGCGUGUGGACGCUUAAAGUGUGGAGCCUAAAGGGAAGAAGGUGGAGAUUGUCACAGAGCAGAGACCGCUUGGACCAAACUCUUCUUGGAACCAAAGCAACAAGUCUUCAAAGAAGACACUACACUCUUCAGACUUGGAUUGUCAUCUGGGGAUGUUUGGAGACAAAGAAGUUGGCCAGCAAUUAGCAGUGCGUGAUGUAUGAAAAAAGUGAAGAAUUUUAUCACCGGAAUCUCCUGGGUGUGAAGAAGAACCCGAGAUGGCAGAGUUCUGUGGUCUAUCUCCCGCUUUCUCUGGGACAAGCACUUACGGAGUGAGACAAUCCAAGACUCGGCAAACCCCAAGCAAAAGAAACAUGAAGAAAAUUACACCAAAGCACACCAUAAUCAAAUUGCUCAAAACCAGUGAUAAAGAGAAAAUUCCAAAGCAGUCAGAACAAAAAGACACAUUGUGUCCAAGGAAACAAAGAUAAGGCUGACAGCUGAUUUCUCGUCAGGAACAAUGUAAGUCAGAAGACAAUGGAGCAGGUGGAAAUCUAUCUACACAAAGGAACGAAGAUGCUUGGAAGUAGCAACUACAUGGAUAAAUAUAAAAGAUUUUCUUUUGCUUCUUAUGGAAAUAUCUUUAAAAGAUAGUUGACUGUUUAAGUUUUACUGGCUAGGACACUAAGUAAAGAAUCAUCUGCACUCACAAGUUGGCCUCAUUCAAAAGCCAUGUUUUCAUUACCACUUUUAAGAGCAAAGAUGGUUUGUAUUUCUGUUGCUGAAAGUGUUCCAAAGUCUGAAGGCACAGAUUGAGACAAAAAGUGAUAGGCUCAGAUGGAAGAAAAUGAAAAGUUUGUAUAAGACCAAAGAAAUCUUCCCACUGAGAGUAUUUAUUAACUUUACAGCUCUUCCUCUUAAUAAUUGAGUUUACACUGAAAGUGUCUAUUUAAGAAAAAUUAUUUCAGUGACGAUAAAUUCAAAUUUUCAAAAAAUAAUAUGCUAAAGUCAAAAGUAUGUUUCCAGUAGCAUUAUUAGUCUAUAGAGCCUGUAUGCACUCAAAUGACAACUUUGAUGGCACAAAAUGGAAGUGUCUCAUAGAGUUUCUAUGUUUUCCCGUAAUCUGUAUAAAAUUGCAACAUUCAAAAACUAACUGCAAUGUUCUUUAAAAUAAAUGCUUUGCAUUUAAAAAAAAGAGUAUUAAUAAUUUUGCUUUACAACAGCAUUCAAGUUUAGAAGACUUUAUACCCUCAC
rnacentral:lncRNA from 1 species